rnacentral:rRNA from 1 species
GAUGAACGCUGGCGGCGUGCCUAAUACAUGCAAGUCGAGCGAACAGAUGAGGAGCUUGCUCCUCUGACGUUAGCGGCGGACGGGUGUGUAACACGUGUAUAACCUACCUAUAAGACUGGGAUAACUUCGGAAAACCGGAGCUAAUACCGGAUAAUAUACUGAACCGCAUGGGUCAAUGGAGAAAGACGGUUUUGCUGUCACUUAUAGAUGGAUCCGCGCCGCAUUAGAUAGUUGGUAAGGUAACGGCCUACCAAGGCAACGAUGCGUAGCCGACCGGAGAGGGUGAUCGGCCACACUGGAACGGGGACACGGUCCAGACUCCUACGGGAGGCAGCAGAAGGGAAUCUUCCGCAAUGGGCGAAAGCCUGACGGAGCAACGCCGCGUGAGUGAUGAAGGUGUUCGGAUCGUAAAACUCUGUUAUUAGGGAAGAACAAAUGUGUAAGUAACUAUACACGUCUUGACGGUACCUAAUCAGAAAGCCACGGCUAACUACGUG